rnacentral:lncRNA from 1 species
UAUUAUUCACAGUGACAUUUGGGGACCAACGAGAGUAAAAACAUCAACGGGGCCAGAUGGUUCAUCACAUUCAUAGAUGACCAUACUAGCUCACUUGGACAUUCCUCAUGAAAGCAAAAUCUGAGACAACAACAGUAUUUCAAGGGUUCUAUGACAUGAUUCUCACUCAGUUUGACACAAAGAUACAAGUCCUAAAAACUGACAAUGCUCAUGAUUAUUUCAACUCAGAACUAGGCACCUAUCUCUCUCAAUGAGGAGUCAUACACUGCAGUUCUUGUGUGGAUACCCCACAGCUGAACGGUAUUGCAGAAGCAAGAACCGGCACCUCCUUGAGACUGCUAGGGCACUUAUGUUCACUAAACAUGUGCCGAAACACUUAUGGGGAGACGCUGUCCUGACAGCUACCUACCUAAUCAACAGACUACCGUGUCGAGUCUUAAAAUACCAGACCCCCAAGGAUGUGCGGGUGCAGACAUAUCCACAUUUGCAAGCUUAUAUGUCAGCUAUGGACCCGAAGGUAUUCGGGUGCCUUGCGUUUGUCCACAUUCAACAGCACCAACGGACCAAACUUGAUCCGCGUGCACAAAAAUGUGUGUUCAUUGGAUAUGCACCUCGCCAACACGGCUACAAGUGUUAUUCUCCAUCCACUAAUAAGGUUUUCACCACCAUGGAUGUAACCUUCUUUGAGACCUCCGGAUAUUAUGGAAAUCCAAAGCUUCAGGGGGAGAGAGUGGUAGGAGAAGAAACUCUGGAUAUGCUAAUUCCUAUGGAGGUUGAACCAGUAAUGCCUCAGGUUUUGGUUUCCUUACCAAGUUCUCCACCUGAACCUGAGGAGAGACAACAACCUGCCAUUCAACACGUGUACCAACGAAGGAGAAGAACAGCUCCUGAGAACUCUGAGGAGAUUACAACUACAGAAAGCCUUGCUGAUGUGGAAGAUACAGUUGAGAUGUGGAAGAUACAGCUGAACCAGAACUGCCCCUACAAUCAGAAAAUGAAGAAACCGUAGUUGAGGAAGUGUAUCAGCCUGACGACUAUGACCUAUACUUGCCAAUAUCAAUGAGGAAAGGCAUUCGGGAAUCCACUCGUCAUCCUAUUCAAAGGUAUGUCAAUUAUGGACGUCUUAGUCCGGAAUUUCGAGCCUUUACCACUCACUUGGAUACUAAACCAAGGACCAUUGAGAAGGCAAUGCGAAUACCUGAAUGGAGACAGGUUGUUCUUGAUGAAAUUGCAGCCCUAGAAAGUAAUGGCACAUGGAGAAUAGUCAACUUACCUCAUGGGAAACAAACCGUUGACUAUAAGUGGAUAUUCACUAUCAAAUAUAAAGCAGAUAGUAGUGUAGAAAGGUAUAAGGCGCGACUUGUAGCUCGUGGCUUCACUCAAUCCUACGGAAUUGAUUAUCAGGAAACAUUUGCCCCUGUGGCAAAACUGAACACGGUGAGGAUCCUACUAUCUAUUGGCGCCAAUAAGGAUUGGCCUCUAUACCAGAUGGCUUUCAAGAACACCUUCUUCAAUGGAACCUUGACUGAAGAACUAUAUAUGACCAUUCCAAAAGGUGUUACCAGAGAUGGAAGAGCUGUGUGCAAACUGGAAAAAUCCUUGUACGGAUUAAAGCAGUCUACUCGUGCUUGAUUUGGAAAAUUCUCAAGCACGGUGAUUUCAAAUGGUUAUCACCAAUGUCAAACAAACGACACAAUGUUUGUCAAACACAGUGCUGGAAACAGAAGUGCUAUCCUUAUCGUCUAUGUCCAUGAUAUAAUAAUCACAGGCAAUGACGAAGAAGAGAUUGGAAAAUUGAAGGCCAAGCUGGGAAUGGAGUUCAACCUAAAGGACUUGGGGGGAAUGAAGUAUUUUCUGAGAAUGGAAGUGGCCAGAUUAGGUGCAGGAAUCUCCAUUUCCCAAAGGAAAUACGUCUUGGACCUUCUAGAUGAGACAGGUAUGAUAGGCUGCAAACCAGCUGACACACCUAUGCAACAAAACCUCCAGUUUAGCACAGAAACUACAGGGAGGCUAACAGAUAAGGGGAGAUAUCAGAAGUUAGUUGGUAAACUGAUAUACCUCUCACACACGACCUGAUAUUACAUUUGCAGUGAGUGUGGUGAGUCAGUUCAUGAACGAACCCACUGAAGAGCAUAUGGAGGCAGUAACCCGCAUCCUAAAAUAUCUGAAGAAAACUUCAGGACUCAGGUUAUUAUUCAAGAAAACUGAUAACAGAUCAGUGGAAAUGUUCACUGAUGCUAGCUGGGCAAGUGAAAUUACUUCACGAAAGUCAACUACAGGUUACUGUUCAUACGUUUGGGGAAACCUAGUUAUAUGGAAGAGUAAGAAGCAGUUCGUGGUAGCCCGAAGUAGUGCAGAAGCUGAAUAUAGAGCACUGGCUCUUGGAAUUCAAGAGGCAACGUGGAUACAAUGAGUCCUUAACGAACUCGAUCUUCCAGGACAAGGAAAAGCAUCACUGUUCAGUGACAGUCAAUCGGCACUGAGCAUAGUCAAGAAUCUUAUCCAUCACAACAGAACAAAGCAUGUCGAGAUAGACAGGCACUUCAUAACAAAAAAGGUUGAAACUGGAAUAGUGGAAGUCAGCUAUGUUCCUUUCAAGCAACAAACAGCUGAUGUUCUCACAAAGGCUCUAUCACACGAGCACCUAAAGUACUUCAAGUCCAAGCUUGGUCUUAUGAAUAUAUACACAAGCUUGGUCUUGUGAAUAUCUACACCAAGCUUGAGGGGGAGUGUAGAGAAUCCUACAGAUUAGCUAAUUAACCUAUUAUACGUCCCCUAUGUAGUUGUAUUAUGUAUUAUUAGGUAAUUACCUCAUAAUAGGAUUCUUAGAGUAGGUAAAUCUCAUAUGGAGACUUGUGUAUAUAACCCCUAUUACCUACGGGCCUUCUAAUAACAAGAGUAGAACAUUAUUCCCUCAAAUCUACACAUUUCAAGUUUCUCAAAAUUUUAUGAAGCUCGAAGAUUUAUGAAAUCUGAGCACCAUUGGAUUCCAGACACGACCAGAGGUAUUAUUAUGAUAUUAUCAAUGGCAAUGCACCAAGUACAACUCUCAGAUUGACCUAUGAUUCUUAAUAUCCUUCUUAGGUAUACUCUAGGGGAACUAAUAAGCAAUCCUAUUUAGAUCAUAAAAAUGUCAGAACUGACAACUUUAGUAUAUCAUUAUGUGUACUUGAACCAUUAGGGAGAGAAUAUGA